rnacentral:rRNA from 1 species
CGGUAUUGCAAGUCUGAAGUGAAAUCCCGGGGCUCAACCCCGGGGCUGCUUUGGAAACUGUUUAACUGGAGUGCAGGAGAGGUAAGCGGAAUUCCUAGUGUAGCGGUGAAAUGCGUAGAUAUUAGGAGGAACACCAGUGGCGAAGGCGGCUUACUGGACUGUAACUGACGUUGAGGCUCGAAAGCGUGGGGAGCAAACA